GUAUUGAUCAAUAAGAUAAAGUGGAAUUUGCUGGGUGGUGGGCGGGGGUCCUUUGUGUAAUAAUUUUGUGUCUUGAUAAAGUAGGAAUAUGGCUGGGACCAUCCCUGACUCUCUUUUUUCCUUGAAUGUGAACACAUGAGUGAAGCAUACAUCCAUUGUCCAUGGGGCAAGAAACAUGAGGAUGAAAAGCCAAUAUGUUAAGGACAUGAAGUGAAAAGCGGGAAGAGCUUCUUAUUCAUGUUAUCACUGAGCAGCGGGAACUGGGGGCUCUGCUCAUUAUAGUUGCCCACGGCCUCCAGUCAAUGAAAUUUCCGGCCAAUGAAAUGCUCUACUGUGACUGAAGCAGCAAAGAGAAGAUGGGUGGCUUUGAAAUCAGAAUUGGAUGCAGAGGGAGUCCCAGAGGCCAACACUGUGAACAUAAGAAGGGAAAGACCAGUUCUGCAAGCACAGAUGUAAUUUUGAGAAGCAGAGCUACAGUUCUGCCGGAGGCCUCUCCAGAUUGUGAUGCACUGGGAGCAAGC
rnacentral:lncRNA from 1 species